GCUUAUGGCCACACCGGCCUGAGUACGCCUGAUCUCGUCCGAUCUCGGAAGCUAAGCAGGGUCGGGCCUGGUUAGUACUUGGUUGGGAGACCGCCUGGGAAUAUCAGGUGCUGUAAGCU
rnacentral:rRNA from 1 species